rnacentral:rRNA from 1 species
UAUUGCACAAUGGGGGAAACCCUGAUGCAGCGUCGCCGCGUGAAGGAAGAAGUAUUUCGGUAUGUAAACUUCUAUCAGCAGGGAAGAAAAUGACGGUACCUGAGUAAGAAGCCCCGGCUAACUACGUGCCAGCAGCCGCGGUAAUACGUAGGGGGGCAAGCGUUAUCCGGAUUUACUGGGUGUAAAGGGAGCGUAGACGGUAAUGUAAGUCUGAUGUGAAAGCCCGGGGCUCAACCCCGGGACUGCAUUGGAAACUAUGUAACUAGAGUACCGGAGAGGUAAGCGGAAUUCCUAGUGUAGCGGUGAAAUGCGUAGAUAUUAGGAGGAACACCAGUGGCGAAGGCGGCUUACUGGACGGAAACUGACGUUGAGGCUCGAAAGCGUGGGGAGCAAACAGG